GACGAACGCUGGCGGCGUGCCUAAUACAUGCAAGUGGGACGCAAGGGAACACACUGUGCUUGCACACCGUGUUUUCUUGAGUCGCGAACGGGUGAGUAACGCGUAGGUAACCUGCCUAUUAGCGGGGGAUAACUAUUGGAAACGAUAGCUAAUACCGCAUAAUAUUAAUUAUUGCAUGAUAAUUGAUUGAAAGAUGCAAGCGCAUCACUAGUAGAUGGACCUGCGUUGUAUUAGCUAGUUGGUAAGGUAAGAGCUUACCAAGGCGACGAUACAUAGCCGACCUGAGAGGGUGACCGGCCACACUGGGACUGAGACACGGCCCAGACUCCUACGGGAGGCAGCAGUAGGGAAUCUUCGGCAAUGGACGAAAGUCUGACCGAGCAACGCCGCGUGAGUGAAGAAGGUUUUCGGAUCGUAAAGCUCUGUUGUAAGUCAAGAACGUGUGUGAGAGUGGAAAGUUCACACAGGA
rnacentral:rRNA from 1 species